rnacentral:rRNA from 1 species
UGGGGAAUAUUGCACAAUGGGCGCAAGCCUGAUGCAGCCAUGCCGCGUGUAUGAAGAAGGCCUUCGGGUUGUAAAGUACUUUCAGCGGGGAGGAAGGUGUUGUGGUUAAUAACCACAGCAAUUGACGUUACCCGCAGAAGAAGCACCGGCUAACUCCGUGCCAGCAGCCGCGGUAAUACGGAGGGUGCAAGCGUUAAUCGGAAUUACUGGGCGUAAAGCGCACGCAGGCGGUCUGUCAAGUCGGAUGUGAAAUCCCCGGGCUCAACCUGGGAACUGCAUCCGAAACUGGCAGUCUUGAGUCUUGUAGAGGGGGGUAGAAUUCCAGGUGUAGCGGUGAAAUGCGUAGAGAUCUGGAGGAAUACCGGUGGCGAAGGCGGCCCCCUGGACAAAGACUGACGCUCAGGUGCGAAAGCGUGGGGAGCAAACA